rnacentral:rRNA from 1 species
GAUGAACGCUGGCGGCGUGCCUAAUACAUGCAAGUCGAGCGAACGGACGAGAAGCUUGCUUCUCUGCUGUUAGCGGCGGACGGGUGAGUAACACGUGGAUAACCUACCUAUAAGACUGGGAUAACCUCGGGAAACCGGAGCUAAUACCGGAUAAUAUUUUGAACCGCAUGGUUCAAAAGUGAAAGACGGUCUUGCUGUCACUUAUAGAUGGAUCCGCGCUGCAUUAGCUAGUUGGUAAGGUAACGGCUUACCAAGGCAACGAUGCAUAGCCGACCUGAGAGGGUGAUCGCCCACACUGGAACUGAGACCCGGUCCAGACUCCUACGGGAGGCAGCAGUAGGGAAUCUUCCGCAAUGGGCGAAAGCCUGACGGAGCAACGCCGCGUGAGUGAUGAAGGUCUUCGGAUCGUAAAACUCUGUUAUUAGGGAAGAACAUAUGUGUAAGUAACUGUGCACAUCUUGACGGCACCUAAUCAGAAAGCCACGGCUAACUACGUG